rnacentral:rRNA from 1 species
UACGUAGGGACCAAGCGUUGUUCGGAUUUACUGGGCGUAAAGGGCGCGUAGGCGGCAAAUCAAGUCAGCUGUGAAAUCUCCGAGCUUAACUCGGAACGGUCAGCUGAUACUGUUUUGCUAGAGUACAGAAGGGGCAAUCGGAAUUCUUGGUGUAGCGGUGAAAUGACGUAGAUAUCAAGAGGAACACCUGAGGUGAAGACGGGUUGCUGGGCUGAUAACUGACGCUGAGGCGCGAAAGCUAGGGUAGCAAACGGG